CGGCCGCUGCCGGUGCCCGCACGGCUGGGAGGGAGCGAGGGCGGGCGGCCUCUGUGCCGUUCGUCGGGGACGGGGAGGAGGGAGGUGCGGGCGGAAUGGCGCCUUCGCCUCAGGAGGAAUAUUGCACAUAUCCAUGGAAUAACUGAUGCAGGUGACACACGGACUAUUGCAGAUACUCAGAAAAAUGUUAAGAUACGGCAACAUUUGAUUUACCACCACUUACACAGAGAGUUCAAACCUUCACAUUCGCCUGGAUUGAACCAACCCACGUGGCAGGGAACAGGCACCGUCCCUGCCCCCAUCUCACCCCACGGAUGAUGCCGGUCACACACCGACUCACGAGGCUGCACCACGCCAGGACAACCCAAACCCCACAGUGGCAGUUUGGUGGUUGAUCCCUGGAGGGGACAAACCCUCUCUUUGGUGUCAGGAGCUCCUCUGCCCACCCUGGGCAUCGGGAAGGGGCAGCUGCCGGCAGCCCCCAGCAUCCUCCUCGCCUUGUCCUUCCCAGGGAACUGAGCCCUUUUUGGCUCCACUCAUCCUUUGGAUGUUCUCCUGUGGCUGGAAAUGCGCUGGAAGAGCUGGGAGCAGCUCAGUAGCCUCUCAGGGGGUUCUGGAAGUACUGUCUCAGGGUUUGUUUGCCCGUGGGCGCUCCUACGGCAGGGUGGGCUUUGGGACUAGAUGUUGACAUCCAGGUUGCCACCCCCCAGGGGUGUGUUAUGGUGCUUAUGCUGGCACGUGCCAUAAAUCAUCCUGCUGGGAAUCAGCACAGUGACAAGGCAGGAAGGUGCCCUGGCUCCAAUGCUGGCAGCUGAGCACUCCAUCUCUA